UACCUGGUUGAUCCUGCCAGUAAUAUAUGCUUGUCUCAAAAAUUAAGCCACGCAAGUGUAAGUGCACACAGCCGGUACAGUGAAACUGCGAAUGGCUCAUUAAAUGAGUUAUGGUCCCUCUAAUCGCUCCACCCAGUUACUUGGACAACUGUGGCAAUUCCAGAACUAAUAUAUGCCAACUGGCGCCAACCUGGGAAGCCUCAGAUCCAAAUCCCAUGCGGGUGUGUGGAUGGUGGAAGAGGGUUUGCGCCUUUCUGCUGCUGUCUGCCCCCGGCCUUGCUUUGGUGAGUCUAGAUAACCUUGGGCCCAUUGCCCACUGCUGGUUCUGGACCCCCAGUCCUCCAGGCACCCGCUGGAUGCCCUUGACUGGGUGUCCACAGCUGUCCACAGCAUUUACUUUGAAAAAAUUAGAGUGUUCAAAGCAGGGCUGGGACUGUGCUCCACUGAAUAGCCCAGCUAGGAAUAAUGGAAUAGGAACCCGGGUUCUAUUUUCUGUGGGUUCCUGGAACCUGAGGCCAUGAUCAAGAGGGAAAAUUCUUAGACCAGCACAUGAUGCACUGAAAUGAAAGCAUUUGCCAAGAACAUUUUCCAUGCCCUUUGUACACACCACCCAUCACUACUACUGAUUGAGCAGCUCAGUGAAGUCCUCGGAUCAGUU
rnacentral:rRNA from 1 species